AUUUGUUUUUUUCACUCAUGUUAUCUCCCAUGAUAUCUGAAAAUGAAGGUUUCCAUCGUUAGGAUGUAAGCACAGGUAAGUCAGUGUCCCAUAGCAACUUGCCACUGAUAGCCUGAGUGGCAAAACAAAUCGGUAGUAAGUGAACUGAAGAACAGCUCCAAAAUGUAACUUUUUUAGAUAGGUAAGUGGAUGCAUGUUUUUAUGCCCAGGAGCCGAGGGUGAGAGCAAAGCAGGCAGGGCAGGACCCUCCCUCAUGAGGACACCUUCCCAUGGUACCUGAGCAAGUUACAUUGGGUGAGGAAUAUGGAUCUCCUGAUUCCACCCCUGAUGUGAGAAGAUGGAUGACAGGACAUUACUUACAAGCUUCGUAGCAUGUGCCUAUGAUUAUAUUAACAGUAGCAGAAUGGAGCCUAGUGAAGCUUUGAAAGGAAAGUAUGUAGUUGGAAGUUUUCUAAGAAUACCUCCCAGAAGAUACAGGAAAUCUGGAUCAUACCAACCCUGCCCCCAUCAAGCUUCUCUUGGCAUCCAAUUUCAGUGCCAGAGCUAUUUCCAAACUAAGCCAGAUAAAAUAUCCAGUACUGAACACCAUAGUCACAGCAAUCAAACUAAGACCCACAGUGCUACUCUUUACAAAGACUGUUCCCCAACCACUGUUUCAGGAAACAAAAGGAUAUUCUAACUACUCAAAGUUGUGAAAGAGGGUUCAUUUUCAUUAUAAUGUUCAUGCCAAAAUGAAAACUAUCUGUGCUGUAGUUGCUCUCUUAUCGCACUAGUUGAUUUCCAUAAACAGGCUGCAAUAUAAGCUCGAUUCCAUAGACUUUGUUUCAGAUGUAUAAUGCAUAACCAAGAGAUUUUUAAGGCCCUGUAGGUUUGCAGUGUAUGCAAGUCUCAUCUUCAGUCAAAGCUGAGUGCACACAUAGGAUUAAAAUCUACCUUUGUACCUUUUCUAUUGAAUUUCCUUAUCUUUCUA